CAGUAGGGAAUCUUCCGCAAUGGACGAAAGUCUGACGGAGCAACGCCGCGUGAGUGAUGAAGGUUUUCGGAUCGUAAAGCUCUGUUGUUAGGGAAGAACAAGUACCGUUCGAAUAGGGCGGUACCUUGACGGUACCUAACCAGAAAGCCACGGCUAACUACGUGCCAGCAGCCGCGGUAAUACGUAGGUGGCGAGCGUUGUCCGGAAUUAUUGGGCGUAAAGGGCUCGCAGGCGGUUUCUUAAGUCUGAUGUGAAAGCCCCCGGCUCAACCGGGGAGGGUCAUUGGAAACUGGGGAACUUGAGUGCAGAAGAGGAGAGUGGAAUUCCACGUGUAGCGGUGAAAUGCGUAGAGAUGUGGAGGAACACCAGUGGCGAAGGCGACUCUCUGGUCUGUAACUGACGCUGAGGAGCGAAAGCGUGGGGAGCGAACAGGAUUAGAUACCCUGGUAGUCCACGCCGUAAACGAUGAGUGC
rnacentral:rRNA from 1 species